AAAAAGAAGCAAAACA
rnacentral:sRNA from 1 species